CUGCCCAGAUCACCGAAGCAGCAGGAUGCAAGCUGCCCCACUGAAAAAGCCCCGGUUUUAAUUCCAAAGCUAAGGAUCUUAAACUGGACAAACCAGUACAUCUCUCCUGAACUGUGCACGAUGACUCCAAAGAAGGUCAAGAUGAGAGGUGUACCCGCAAUGCCUUUAACUUUGCCUGGACCUGAACACUAAAAGCCUCUUUGCUUCUGUAGAUUGUCUCAGAAACGGAAAUGCGAGGAACAACCAGAAGCAGUAAUCCUUUCUGUAUUCUCAUUUUUUCUAUGUUUGAUAUUAAGUAUCUCUCAAGGAUGCUCUAAAUGGCAGUCUGUUAAAUAAAAGUGCCUUUCCUGUGUCAA